rnacentral:lncRNA from 1 species
UCUGUUACUCAGGAUUCAGCGCUCAGUGUUGGCAGCUAAACAUCCACUCUCAUGACUACUAAUACUGUUCAGGCCCCAGGGAAAUGCUUUCCCACAUCUCACCCAAUGUUCUCAAACAAAAGAUGACUGCAUCUGAAUGCCGUGAAGAUUUGUGGGUUGUGUUGUCUGAAACAGGCCCUGCUUUGGAGUGUGGGGAAGAUUUGAGCAGCAAAAGCACUUCGUAUUUCAGUGACAUCAUCCACUCAGGAGAGUUGGGGCGAGGCUGGCUGAGGUUCUCAAGGAGCUGAGUUUUGAGUUCAGGUGCUCGUGUAGCAGUGGAAUGAUGCCUCCUGACCUUUCAGACCUUUGAGACCUCUGGGCGGUCUUAGAAAUCACUUCAAGCCUCCAGUCCAGGAUACGACUGCCUAGGGGAAUUCCAGGGAAAGGUGGCAGAGAUGCCAUGGACUACAAGGUGAUGAAUACCACUAUGAGCUCACUACAAGAUCUCAAAGAUUUCAAGCCACUGGCUGUUACAAAGCAUAAAGCCACCCUUCUGGAGCAGCGGCGGGAGGCAGGCUGGGAGGAGGCCCCAAGUUUUGGCCAGACGAUAGACCACCUCCUUAGGUGUCCGGGGAGCUGCUGAAACAUAAUGAGGAAGAUGCUGCUGAUCCAAAGGAUAAAAACACAGAAACUAGAACCAAGAAGCACCUAAAGUGGACUCAUGCCCAGCAUCCCUGCAGACUGACUUUCUCUGAGCUAUAGUUCUGCAUUGGACUGUUUUUCCUUUGCUAUCACCUGCCCAACACACAAUCCUGGAUGCUUUUGAUUGGUUGGAUUUCUUUUUUUUUUUUCCUGCCUUUUCUUUUUCUUUCCUUGACCCUGGGAAUUAUAAACGAGAAAUUGCUUUAAAAAGUAUUGUUCUGUGCUAAAAUUAGCCUUGUUUAUGAACAAGUUUUAUCCCUAGGGAUUUCCUGAAUUGCAAUCCCAGAUUACCUUGUAAAUGGGGCUGUGUUGUUUGAUUUGUAUAGUACUGAUCUGUAGGUUAAAAUACGUUUCCUUUCUUUUGUUUCAUUCUUUUUUUAAAAGUCUGGAUCCAGGUAAUGGCCUGAGUCACAUUUGCUUAGCUACUGAAGCGAUCUCAAUAUGUUAUCGCUUAGAGUUGAAACAUAAUCAAACAUACGUUAUACCUGGGGCUCUUGCACACUAUUUGAUAUAUAUAUGUUACUCUACAAAGAAACACAAACCUUGUAUGUUGAAAUGUAAUUCCUGUUUGAUCCUGCAGCUAGAAUGCUAAAGAAAUUGCAAAUAUCAAAAGUGACUUCAAAUACCCUGAAUAUAAGCUAGUCAACAGUAAGUGGAUGGUUCCAGAAUACCAUAUUCUAAGACAAAGCAGGAAUUAGAGAUCAACUGACCUCAUCCAUAAUGUUGCUCAGGUCUGUCUGUGGAUCUGUCCAUUUUGGAGUAAAAAACAAGGCAUGCUUCUGUGAUUGUGUUUAUGAAAACUGUAGUAUUUCAGAUUUAUGUUUUGCAAUUGUGCCUGCCUUGCAAUAAAACACCUUCAGUUGACUCAGCA